AAGGACUAAGUAGGGCUGGAGUUGCUCUGCAGAUAAGACAAAUGAAAACAGAAGGGAGUUAUUUCCUCCAGCUUAACCUGAAUUCCAAGUAAGAGACUGAACCUGUUAUCCUUGCUUGGAAAACCCUUUGGAAUAGGAAAAAGGACAUCAUUCUCUGCAGCAGGUUUUAUCUCUGAACCUCCUUCUACAUAUUACACAUGGACUUCUGGUCCUGGGGGGAGCUGUGUGCUAACUGUAAUUGAAAAAACUAGACAGAGCAUUUGGAGGAAAUGUCUUUACUUUCUAAGCAGGAUACCAGGCAAUUUGGACUAAAUUUACUAGUGUAAAGCUGUAAACAAGGACUGACUAGUUCCACACAAUUCCUUCAUUUUGGAAGAGGAAUUCAGUAUAUGAAUCCCUCUUAAAAGAAGCCCAGUGCUGUGUAUCAAAUAAAACUAUGUAGUUAUUCCUUGCAUUGACUUGCUCUUGUGAUCAUGGCCUCUCUGAACACUGACUGGGA